rnacentral:rRNA from 1 species
GAUCAUGGCUCAGGAUGAACGCUGGCGGCGUGCCUAACACAUGCAAGUCGAGCGAGAAUUUACAGAUUGAAGCUUCGGCAGAUUUCUGUAAAGGAAAGCGGCGGACGGGUGAGUAACGCGUGAGUAACCUGCCCUUAGGUGGGGGAUAACACAUCGAAAGGUGUGCUAAUACCGCAUAACAUAUGUUUACCGCAUGGUAGACAUAUCAAAGAUUUAUUGCCUAAGGAUGGACUCGCGUCUGAUUAGAUAGUUGGUGAGGUAACGGCUCACCAAGUCGACGAUCAGUAGCCGAACUGAGAGGUUGAUCGGCCACAUUGGGACUGAGACACGGCCCAGACUCCUACGGGAGGCAGCAGUGGGGAAUAUUGCGCAAUGGGGGAAACCCUGACGCAGCAACGCCGCGUGAAGGAUGAAGGUCUUCGGAUUGUAAACUUUUGUCUUAUGGGACGAAAAAGGACGGUACCAUAGGAGGAAGCCACGGCUAACUACGUG